ACCAAUUGUUGGAUUCCGCAUUGGAAGCGUAAAAUCGAAUUUUUACCAUAUAUAAACUCGUCUCCUCAGCAAAAGCUGACUCAUUUUCUACAACAAAGUAGCUUCAAAUCCGAGCCCUCUUUCUGAAUCUCUCUCAUCCUUCUCUUGUUUUCUAUAAAUUCAGAAGACCUCUUCCUAUGUACCCAUGCACAAGGUAUAUCAAUAACCCACGAUUAC
rnacentral:lncRNA from 1 species